CCGUAUCAAUUAAAAGUCAUAACGUUUCACGUACGUAAAUAACGCGCAUAACGGUUAAUUAAAAAAAGCUUAAACUUAACUGAGCAGAUAAGGAAAUUAUUAAGAACCAAAUUAGCAAGAAUUUUUUUUAUCAGCAAGGAUGAGUACACCCUAUUAAAUUAUUAUUUUUAUCGGAAAAAACAACUACUAAUGAAUAGCUAUUAAAAGUACAGUUUAUUCAUCAUAUUAUUCGUAAUCAAAGAGUUACAGCAAUGGGAAGUAUAGUAAGCGGUAUACUGGGUAUGGUGGGCACGUUAAUCAAAACCCUUUUGACGUUGCCCUUUGAGAUUCUACGGUUACCAAUUAAAUUGAUCGAAGGAGUUUUGAAAAUCGUUAUGAUCCUGAUAGGUGCAUCUCUAGGUUUGCCCGUCGGUUUGGUCUCAGUACUGCUAAAAAUUCCAACACAGGUUAUCAAUUUAAUUUUAAACUUUUUGGGAGGUUUGGUGCGUACUGGUGAGGAAAUUGCGUUAGUGCCAGGGAAAAUUAUUACUGGAUAAAUAUAUUUAUUGUUUGGUUGGUUGGUAAUAAAGAAAAAUUUUUUGAAAA